CCAGCAGCUGCGGUAAUUCCGGCUCCAAGAGUGUAUAUUAAAGUUGUUGCGGUUAAAAAGCUCGUAGUUGAACUUGUGAUAAUGAUUUAGAAUUGGGGGUAAAAUCUUAAAAGAUAAAAACGUUUCAUACUUUGGUUGUGGCAACACUUCCAUAGGUUACUUUGAAAAAAUUAGAGUGUUUAAAGCAAAAUUCAUACUUUGAAUAAUACAGCAUGGGAUAACAAAAAAUGACAGUGACUUAAAUUUGUUGGUUUCUUAGGCAACUGUAAUGAUUAAAAGGGACAGUUGGGGUCGCUCAUAUUAGAUGGGAAGGGGUGAAAUCCUAUGAUCCAUUUAAGAUGAACUAAUGCGAAAGCAUUCGACAAGGAUGUUUUCAUU
rnacentral:rRNA from 1 species